UGAAAGCUCUCCUGAACUCUGGCUUGGUGUGGAUUUUCUGCAGAAGCAAACCAUAAGGACAGAAGGAUGAUUUGCUUGAGUUUCCAGAAAUCCCGACACAACUCCAAACAGAUGUCACCUCCCAUUCUGCUACGAUUUACAGGAGAAAAUGCCCAUGCUCCACCAUGUUCCCUCAGCCUGCCAGCACCACCAGGAGCAGGAGAAAGACGGGGCGACGGGAGGGAGGGAGGAAGAGGAGGAGUGUAGAGUGUCUUCCAGCAAGGUCAAACUACAAUGCAGCAAUCUAAUUAAGAGUAUCAGAGUCUUUCCUGUGUGGGGUCAACCUCCCUGUUGUGCUCACGGCCUCAUAUUGUCCAUUAUGUGGUACACUCUGCUUGUUCUUGUAAAUGAUAGAUGUUCUGCUAAUUAAAUCUUUGUACUUCAUCUUCUCACCAAUGUCAUUUUUCAAAUGAUGGACCUGUUGACUUACCGUCACGGUUCAUGCUAAUGCAGAUAAAGACGAUCCAGACUGAGUCCAAACUGAAAAGUGAAAUUACAAUAAAAGUAGUUAUUUCUUGGUUUAUUCCUAAAACAUUAUCCUGUUCUACCACAGAAGGGUCAAAUUUAUGGUAAAAACGAUAUAGAGACUUACUUUUGCCCAGCUAACCCUUCCUUAGCUAGCUGUAUGCUAGUGGAGCUUCAGCGUCACUUAUUCCUUGAAGCAGGAGUGUCAAACUCUAGGGGCCAAAAUCCAAAACACGGGCCGAACAGUACAAACAUUUAUUAAACACUCUAAAACUAAAAAUUUAAAACUUUAAAACCUUGAAAUUUCAAUGUAAUUAUGAAUUAGCAUUACCUGUGAUAAUGCUAAUGUGAAUCCUGUAAGCUAAUCUGGCUGCUAGAGUAUUAGCUACAUUCCAAGUUAGCCUAAAAAACUAAAAAAAAAA